rnacentral:rRNA from 1 species
GACGAACGCUGGCGGCGUGCUUAACACAUGCAAGUCGAACGGAAAGGCCCUGCUUUUGUGGGGUGCUCGAGUGGCGAACGGGUGAGUAACACGUGAGUAACAUGCCCUUGACUUUGGGAUAACUUCAGGAAACUGGGGCUAAUACCGGAUAGGAGCUCCUGCUGCAUGGUGGGGGUUGGAAAGUUUCGGCGGUUGGGGAUGGACUCGCGGCUUAUCAGCUUGUUGGUGGGGUAGGGGCUUACCAAGGCUUUGACGGGUAGCCGGCCUGAGAGGGUGACCGGCCACAUUGGGACUGAGAUACGGCCCAGACUGCUACGGGAGGCAGCGGUGGGGAAUAUUGCACAAUGGGCGGAAGCCUGAUGCAGCAACGCCGCGUGCGGGAUGACGGCCUUCGGGUUGUAAACCGCUUUCGCCUGUGACGAAGCGUGAGUGACGGUAAUGGGUAAAGAAGCACCGGCUAACUACGUG